GUACGGUCGCAAGACUAAAACUCAAAGGAAUUGACGGGGGCCCGCACAAGCAGCGGAGCGUGUUGCUUAAUUCGAUGCUACGCGAAGAACCUUACCUAGGUUUGACAUGUUUGGAAAAGCAACAGAGAUGUUGUGUCCGCAAGGGCCAAACACAGGUGGUGCAUGGCUGUCAUCAGCUCGUGUCGUGAGAUGUUGGGUUAAGUCCCGCAACGAGCGCAACCCUUAUCCAAUGUUGCCAGCAAGUUAUGUUGGGGACUCAUUGGAGACUGCCGGGGUUAACUCGGAGGAAGGUGGGGAUGACGUCAAGUCCUCAUGCCCCUUAUGUCUAGGGCUGCAAACACGCUACAAUGGCCGAUACAAAGGGUUGCCUGCUCGCGAGAGUUAGCUAAUCCCGUAAAGUCGGUCUCAGUUCGAAUUGAAGUCUGCAACUCGACUUCAUGAAGCUGGAGUUGCUAGUAAUCCCGGAUCAGCACGCCGGGGUGAAUACGUUCCCGGGCCUUGUACACACCGCCCGUCACACCACGAAAGUCGGCAACACCCAAAGCCGGUGGCCUAACCGCAAGGAAGGAGCCGUCUAAGGUGGGGUCGGUGAUUGGGGUG
rnacentral:rRNA from 1 species